AUUUUAUUAUGUAGGACCGUGAGCGAGUUGGAACAAGCAGCAGGGAAAAACAAAAAUUCACACACACGGCAAGGUCGAGAAGUUUUGCUUCUGUAGCUGAGGCCGAGGAAGUCAAAUCCGGACAAAAAGUUGGACUCCUUCAGCUUUUUGAGAUUACACAUAGGAAGAAAGAUGGAUCUCCUAUGACAUCCGAAGCUGGAGAAAUUAUGGAGAAACUAAAGGAGAAGAAGGCAAAAUAUGAAGCGAUUGCUUCAAGUGAUAGUUCUGUUAAUCUUGAGAACAUUGAUAACAGAAUUAUCACUGAAGUUUUGGGUCCUGAAAGGUACGGUCAGGUUCGAUUUCAAGGAUCUGGUGUUACCCCGACCCAAUAUUUUGGAUCCGGCUCCUAGCAAUACAUGCCUUUUGGAAGUCAAGCUCAAGCUGAAGUUCAGAGGUUAA